rnacentral:rRNA from 1 species
GUACACGCUGUGACUAGCAUAUCAAUAAGCGGAGGAAAAGAAACUAACAAGGAUUCCCUCAGUAACGGCGAGUGAAGCGGGAAGAGCUCAAAUUUGAAAUCUUGAAAGGUCACCUUUCACGAAUUGUAGUUUAAAGAAGUGUUUUCUGUUACGAUCGUAAUAUAAGUUCUUUGGAAUAGGACAUCACAGAGGGUGAGAAUCCCGUCUAUGAUUGCGAUUUGUAGCUUUGUGAUACACUUUCAAAGAGUCGGGUUGUUUGGGAAUGCAGCCCAAAACGGGAGGUAAAUUUCUUCUAAGGCUAAAUAUUGGCGAGAGACCGAUAGCGAACAAGUACCGUGAGGGAAAGAUGAAAAGAACUUUGAAAAGAGAGUUAAAUAGUACGUGAAAUUGUCAAAAGGGGAGCGUUUAACACCAGUGUUGUUUUCUGAAAAUCAACCUCUGUUAGCUUUAUGCAUGUUUGUUUAGACCUAAUCAGCUAUCUUUCAUGUUCUAUUGUUUGCAGUGGUGCACUUUUCAGUUUACAGGUCAACAUCAGUUUUUUUUACCGUAAAAAAGUUAAAGAAAGGUAGCUCAUGGCUCCGGUCGUGAGUGUUAUAGUCUUUUUCCUAUGCGGUAGGAGAGACUGAGGUCUGCAGUGUAGGCUAUUUGGCUAGAUACUCAGGUGCUAUGUGAUACCAUUUCAUAAACAACUUGUUGAUUAUGUUUUGUCUAUUGCAUACUCGCUUGUACUAUCAUACCUACGCUUAGGAUGUUGAGUAGCGACAUACGCAC